GACGAACGCUGGCGGCGUGCUUAACACAUGCAAGUCGAACGGAAAGGCCCUGCUUUUGUGGGGUGCUCGAGUGGCGAACGGGUGAGUAACACGUGAGUAACCUGCCCUUGACUUUGGGAUAACUUCAGGAAACUGGGGCUAAUACCGGAUAGGAGCUCCUGCUGCAUGGUGGGGGUUGGAAAGUUUCGGCGGUUGGGGAUGGACUAGCGGCUUAUCAGCUUGUUGGUGGGGUAGUGGCUUACCAAGGCUUUGACGGGUAGCCGGCCGGAGAGGGUGACCGGCUACAGUGGGACUGAGAAACGGCCCAGACUGGUACGGGAGGCAGCAGUAGAGAAUAUUGCACAAUGGACGGAAGCCUGAUGCAGCAACGCCGCGUGCGGGAUGACGGCCUUCGGGUUGUAAACCGCUUUCGCCUGUGACGAAGCGUGAGUGACGGUAAUGGAUAAAGAAGCACCGGCUAACUACGUG
rnacentral:rRNA from 1 species